rnacentral:rRNA from 1 species
CGUGACGGCGCGAGCAGGUGCGAAAGCAGGUCAUAGUGAUCCGGUGGUUCUGAAUGGAAGGGCCAUCGCUCAACGGAUAAAAGGUACUCCGGGGAUAACAGGCUGAUACCGCCCAAGAGUUCAUAUCGACGGCGGUGUUUGGCACCUCGAUGUCGGCUCAUCACAUCCUGGGGCUGAAGUAGGUCCCAAGGGUAUGGCUGUUCGCCAUUUAAAGUGGUACGCGAGCUGGGUUUAGAACGUCGUGAGACAGUUCGGUCCCUAUCUGCCGUGGGCGCUGGAGAACUGAGGGGGGCUGCUCCUAGUACGAGAGGACCGGAGUGGACGCAUCACUGGUGUUCGGGUUGUCAUGCCAAUGGCACUGCCCGGUAGCUAAAUGCGGAAGAGAUAAGUGCUGAAAGCAUCUAAGCACGAAACUUGCCCCGAGAUGAGUUCUCCCUGACCCUUUAAGGGUCCUGAAGGAACGUUGAAGACGACGACGUUGAUAGGCCGGGUGUGUAAGCGCAGCGAUGCGUUGAGCUAACCGGUACUAAUGAACCGUGAGGCUUAACCUUACAACGCCGAAGGUGUUU